AACGGGUGGAGCUGACUGGUACUAAUAGGCCGAGGGCUUGUCCUCAGUUGCUCGCGUCCACUGUGUUGUUCCCAGGCCACGAACGGUCGUGCUGGUUGAACAACUACUUAAACUGAAAAGUGUGCUUGUUCGCUAAGUGCCGAUAUCCCCGCUCUGUGUGGGGACUGGCCGAUAGUGUUUCGGUGGUCAUUGCGUUAGGGAAACGCCCGGUUACAUUCCGAACCCGGAAGCUAAGCCUUUCAGCGCCGAUGGUACUGCAGGGGGGACCCUGUGGGAGAGUAGGACGCCGCCGAAC
rnacentral:rRNA from 1 species